UAGCAUAUCAAUAAGCGGAGGAAAAGAAACCAACAGGGAUUGCCUCAGUAACGGCGAGUGAAGCGGCAACAGCUCAAAUUUGAAAUCUGGCCUUCUGGUCCGAAUUGUAAUUUGUAGAGGACGCUUUUGGUGCGGUACCUUCCGAGUUCCCUGGAACGGGACGCCUUAGAGGGUGAGAGCCCCGUACGGUUGGAUACCUAGCCUCUGUAUAGCUCCUUCGACGAGUCGAGUAGUUUGGGAAUGCUGCUCUAAAUGGGAGGUAAAUUUCUUCUAAAGCUAAAUACCGGCCAGAGACCGAUAGCGCACAAGUAGAGUGAUCGAAAGAUGAAAAGUACUUUGAAAAGAGGGUUAAAUAGCACGUGAAAUUGUUGAAAGGGAAGCGCUUAUGACCAGACCUUUGCCUGGCGGAUCAUCCGGUGUUCUCACCGGUGCACUUCGCCAGGUCGAGGCCAGCGUCGAUUUUUGGAGGGGGAUAAAGGCUUCGGGAAUGUGACUCCUCCGGGAGUGUUAUAGCCCGUUGCGUAAUACCCUUCCGGGGAUCGAGGUUCGCGCUCUGCAAGGACGCUGGCGUAAUGGUCAUCAGUGACCCGUCUUGAAACACGGACCAAGGAGUCGAACAUUUGUGCGAGUGUUUGGGUGUUAAACCCUCACGCGUAAUGAAAGUGAACGGAGGUGAGAGCCCUUACGGGUGCAUCAUCGACCGAUCCUGAAGUCUUCGGAUGGAUUUGAGUAAGAGCAUAACUGUUCGGACCCGAAAGAUGGUGAACUAUGCGUGGAUAGGGUGAAGCCAGAGGAAACUCUGGUGGAGGCUCGCAGCGGUUCUGACGUGCAAAUCGAUCGUCAAAUCUGCGCAUGGGGGCGAAAGACUAAUCGACCAUCUA
rnacentral:rRNA from 1 species